rnacentral:snoRNA from 1 species
CGGCUUAGAGUCACUAACGCGACCCCCACAGUGGCGCGCCGGUGCUUGUGCUUGCCGAGAAGGUAUCCCAGCUAGCCGCCGGCAAGCAGUCUCUGCCUGUUUGUAUGGCAGACGCUCUACCGCCGGCUAGCACAUAC